GUCGAGCGGGCGAGGUUGCUUCGGUAACUGAGCUAGCGGCGGACGGGUGAGUAAUGCUUAGGAAUCUGCCUAUUAGUGGGGGACAACAUUCCGAAAGGGAUGCUAAUACCGCAUACGUCCUACGGGAGAAAGCAGGGGAUCAUUUGACCUUGCGCUAAUAGAUGAGCCUAAGUCGGAUUAGCUAGUUGGUGGGGUAAAGGCCUACCAAGGCGACGAUCUGUAGCGGGUCUGAGAGGAUGAUCCGCCACACUGGGACUGAGACACGGCCCAGACUCCUACGGGAGGCAGCAGUGGGGAAUAUUGGACAAUGGGGGGAACCCUGAUCCAGCCAUGCCGCGUGUGUGAAGAAGGCCUUUUGGUUGUAAAGCACUUUAAGUGGGGAGGAGGCUUACCUGGUUAAUACCUGGGCUAAGUGGACGUUACCCACAGAAUAAGCACCGGCUAACUCUGUGCCAGCAGCCGCGGUAAUACAGAGGGUGCGAGCGUUAAUCGGAUUUACUGGGCGUAAAGCGCGCGUAGGUGGUUAAUUAAGUCAAAUGUGAAAUCCCCGAGCUUAACUUGGGAAUUGCAUUCGAUACUGGUUAGCUAGAGUAUGGGAGAGGAUGGUAGAAUUCCAGGUGUAGCGGUGAAAUGCGUAGAGAUCUGGAGGAAUACCGAUGGCGAAGGCAGCCAUCUGGCCUAAUACUGACACUGAGGUGCGAAAGCAUGGGGAGCAAACAGGAUUAGAUACCCUGGUAGUCCAUGCCGUAAACGAUGUCUACUAGCCGUUGGGGGAUUUGAUCCUUUAGUGGCGCAGCUAACGCGAUAAGUAGACCGCCUGGGGAGUACGGUCGCAAGACUAAAACUCAAAUGAAUUGACGGGGGCCCGCACAAGCGGUGGAGCAUGUGGUUUAAUUCGAUGCAACGCGAAGAACCUUACCUGGCCUUGACAUAGUAGAAACUUUCCAGAGAUGGAAAGGUGCCUUCGGGAAUCUACAUACAGGUGCUGCAUGGCUGUCGUCAGCUCGUGUCGUGAGAUGUUGGGUUAAGUCCCGCAACGAGCGCAACCCUUUUCCUUACUUGCCAGCAUUUCGGAUGGGAACUUUAAGGAUACUGCCAGUGACAAACUGGAGGAAGGCGGGGACGACGUCAAGUCAUCAUGGCCCUUACGGCCAGGGCUACACACGUGCUACAAUGGUCGGUACAAAGGGUUGCUACACAGCGAUGUGAUGCUAAUCUCAAAAAGCCGAUCGUAGUCCGGAUCGCAGUCUGCAACUCGACCUGCGUGAAGUCGGAAUCGCUAGUAAUCGCGG
rnacentral:rRNA from 1 species